CUGAGACUCGCAUUUUAGACCCGAGGGAAUGGAGGCCGAGGGCAGCGAGGCGACAGCUCCAGCAACCAGGAUCUGACCCCUCCCCAUCUGCCCCUCCAGCCCCCAGGGAAGCCAGAACCAGGCACAAACCAGAUGGCCCAGCUUAUGCCCAGCAACUCAGGGUCACCAGAUCUUGUCUCAUCAAGACACUUUCAGCCCACCACCCAAACCUGUAGCCCACAUGAAGAGGGCAAUAAUCCUGGACACUGUGAAAAGUAAAAGCAUUACAUCCAAAGAGGCAUCCCCAGGAUGGAGCAGAAAUAAGAAAACAUAAUGAAGACACAAUUUUGCAAUCACUUCUGCCUAUAUUCCAUGGCCUACAAACCACUCAAAUAGCUCCACAUGUAAGAGAAGCCAGGAUGUGCUGUCCUCCAGAGCAUCCAGAAAGAGAUAAUGGGACUGAUAAGUCCUUGGCCAUUUUCUA
rnacentral:lncRNA from 10 species